AUUCCAGCUCCAAUAGCGUAUAUUAAAGUUGUUGCAGUUAAAACGCUCGUAGUCGGAUUUCGGGGCGGGCCGACCGGUCUGCCGAUGGGUAUGCACUGGCCGGCGCGUCCUUCCACCCGGAGACCGCGCCUACUCUUAACUGAGCGGGCGCGGGAGACGGGUCUUUUACUUUGAAAAAAUCAGAGUGUUUCAAGCAGGCAGUCGCUCUUGCAUGGAUUAGCAUGGGAUAAUGAAAUAGGACUCUGGUGCUAUUUUGUUGGUUCGCACACUAGGUAAUGAUUAACAGAAUCAGUCGGGGAUAUUCGUAUGCAAAUGUCAGAGGUGAAAUUCUUGGAUUUUUUACAGACGAACUACUGCGAAAGCAUUUAUCAAGGAUGUUUUCAUUA
rnacentral:rRNA from 1 species